rnacentral:rRNA from 1 species
UUUAGCGGAAGUUUUCGGAUGGAAGCUAGAUUGACUGAGUGGCGGACGGGUGAGUAACACGUGGGUAACCUGCCUCACACUGGGGGACAACAGUUAGAAAUGACUGCUAAUACCGCAUAAGCGCACAGUUCCGCAUGGAACGGUGUGAAAAACUCCGGUGGUGUGAGAUGGACCCGCGUCUGAUUAGCCAGUUGGCGGGGUAACGGCCCACCAAAGCGACGAUCAGUAGCCGGCCUGAGAGGGUGAACGGCCACAUUGGGACUGAGACACGGCCCAAACUCC